AACGAACGCUGGCGGCAGGCUUAACACAUGCAAGUCGAACGCAUCGCAAGAUGAGUGGCAGACGGGUGAGUAACGCGUGGGAAUCUACCCAGUUCUACGGAACAACAGUUGGAAACGACUGCUAAUACCGUAUACGCCCUACGGGGGAAAGAUUUAUCGGAAUUGGAUGAGCCCGCGUAAGAUUAGCUAGUUGGUGGGGUAAUGGCCUACCAAGGCGACGAUCUUUAGCUGGUCUGAGAGGAUGAUCAGCCACACUGGGACGGAGACACGGCCCAGACUCCUACGGGAGGCAGCAGUGUGGAAUAUUGGACAAUGGGCGCAAGCCUGAUCCAGCCAUGCCGCGUGAGUGGUGAAGGCCUUAGGGUUGUAAGGCUCUUUCACCGAUGAAGAUAAUGACGGUAGUCGGAGAAGAAGCCCCGGCUAACUUCGUGCCAGCAGCCGCGGUAAAAC
rnacentral:rRNA from 1 species